CCUACGGGAGGCAGCAGUGGGGAAUAUUGCACAAUGGGCGCAAGCCUGAUGCAGCCAUGCCGCGUGUAUGAAGAAGGCCUUCGGGUUGUAAAGUACUUUCAGUCGUGAGGAAGGUGUUAAGGUUAAUAACCUUAGCAAUUGACGUUAGCGACAGAAGAAGCACCGGCUAACUCCGUGCCAGCAGCCGCGGUAAUACGGAGGGUGCGAGCGUUAAUCGGAAUUACUGGGCGUACAGGGCACGCAGGCGGUUACGUGAGAUGGAUGGGAAAGCGCGGCGAUUAACCGGUGAAUGGCAUUGACGACUGGUGAGGUAGGGAAUGGUGGAGGGUGGUAGAGGUCCGUGCGUAGCGGUGGCAUGCGUGUAGGGUUGGAGGAUACCCAGUGGCGAAGGCGUAGCCCUCCACAAAGGCUGACGGGCAUGAGUGGAAGCGUGGGACGGACACAGGACCUGCGAGAGCCGUCC
rnacentral:rRNA from 1 species